AUUGAACGCUGGCGGCAGGCCUAACACAUGCAAGUCGAACGAGUGGCGGACGGUUGCGUAAUGUCUGGUAACCUGCCCGAUGGCUGGGGAUCACUACUGGAAACGGUAGCUAAUACCGCGUACCAUCGGCUGUGCCCAGAUGGGAUUAGCUAGUGGGUGGGGUAACGGCUCACCUAGGCGACGAUCCCUAGCUGGUCUGAGAGGAUGACCAGCCACACUGGAACUGAGACACGGUCCAGACUCCUACGGGAGGCAGCAGUGGGGAAUAUUGCACAAUGGGCGAAAGCCUGAUGCAGCAAUGCCGCGUGUAUGAAGAAGGCCUUCGGGUUGUAAAGUACUUUCAGCGAGGAGGCGUUACUCAAAGAAGAAGCACCGGCUAACUACGUGCCAGCAGCCGCGGUAAUAC
rnacentral:rRNA from 1 species